rnacentral:pre_miRNA from 1 species
AAAGCAUUGCUCUACCUGCACUGUGUACAGUGUGCAGAUGGAGCACUGCUGACU